AACAAUCUAACAAAUAAUCGUCUAUAACCAAUCAGAAGACUUCACACAAAAUCAAAAGAACCCAGAAAGAAAGUGACUAUUCAUAUACAAUUAACUUUUCCAUGAUAAAUCAACGUCCCAUGUAGGACCAAAUGGUCCUUAAAGACAGCAAAAACCUUGCCCCUGCCAUGUGCUUCAUGGCUAACUCCUAUGAAUGUAUUGAUUGCCCAUUCAGAAUCCUCAGGCACCAUUGUAAGGCCAUAAAAAUGUUAAAGGAAGUUUUCUUGUUUUAGUCAAGGGGCCCCAGUUAUAGGCAUGAAAUGGAGUGACAUGCCCUUAUGAGAAGGGCAGAGGAGCCUGUGUCCUCUUAUUUGUUGGCAACACCCACAUGCCUCUUAAGUCUUAAUCGAUUGUACGCAGUAGGCCCUGAACUUUUUUUUUCAAGCAAAAGUGAUUUGAAUCCAAGAAAUUUAUCAGAUGCAUGACCAUCAUAUUAAGUUUCAACCAAAUAGUGCUACAUUAUGAUUUCUAAUAUAAAGAAGUGAAAAUAAUCAAGGGGAGAGCCAAAUGUGUAAAAUAUCUUGAUGUUCGUACGUAAGUUAUAUAACUAAGGACUGUGACACAAAAACUGAUGAAAAAGCACACGCAGCACCUGGCUCGCCUAGCAGAAGCUCUUCAACAUUCAACUCAGUCGAAUAUUUUGAAAUAUACCUCCACAACGUCGUUAAGACUUUGUAUAGAGGCAAACACCUGCCAAGUGCUGAAAGAUCAAGAAAGUUGGCGACCUAAUGAUGUGAAGGCAGGUGAUCAAAGCCCAUGAACAAAGACCCUAAUUAUAACAGUCCUGAGGUAGUGCAUUUCUUGUCAUGUAAAUUUCGACCACGAAACAAUUACUUGGACGUAAUAUAGCCACAUCAGUUACCAUGUUUCGCUUCUUAAUUGGUGCAGAAUGUUAUGCCCAAUUGGACGAAAUUUCACUGGGA
rnacentral:lncRNA from 1 species